GAUAAAGAAAGGAGUUAAACCAAUGUGCACAGGACUACAGCCUGCCGCCUAACACUCGGCCACUUUACC
rnacentral:tRNA from 1 species